AUGUAGGUUGCCCUAGGGAGAGAAGACUGCUCUAGCCCUCUCAUGGCAGCAACUUGGAGCCAGGCUCACAUCACUACCGCAAAUACUACUUGUAACUCUGAAAUUGGCCUGAUAAUGGGAAGGGCUUCUAUUAUCUUCUAUCUUCUCCUGGAAGAAGCCAGCAGAGUUUGGACAGUGGACUCCUAGCAACAGAACAGAUGAAGUGGUUUAGUGGCUGAAACUGCCAACAACCAUUGUGACUUCAGAACAUUGAGCUUGAUCAAAUUUUUUGGAUGGAACAAUUUUCAAUAAUUACAGUUUAGGACAAAUUGAAUUGUUGCAUCG